rnacentral:rRNA from 1 species
UGUAGGCGGUUCUUUAAGUUUGGUGUGAAAUCUCCCGGCUCAACCGGGAGGGUGCGCCGAAUACUGAGGGACUAGAGUGCGGGAGAGGAAAGUGGAAUUCCUGGUGUAGCGGUGAAAUGCGUAGAUAUCAGGAGGAACACCGGUGGUGUAGACGGCUUUCCGGACCGUAACUGACGCUGAGACACGAAAGCGUGGGUAGCAAACA